GAUGAACGCUGGCGGCGUGCCUAAUACAUGCAAGUCGAGCGAACAGACGAGGAGCUUGCUCCUCGGACGUUAGGGGCGGACGGGAGAGUAACACGUGGAUAACGUACCUAUAAGAGUGGGAUAACUUCGGGAAAGCGGAGCUAAUAGCGGAGAAUAUAUUGAACCGCAGGGGGGAAUGGUGAGAGACGGUGUUGCUGGCACUUAUAGAUGGAUCCGCGCCGCAUUAGCUAGUUGGUAAGGUAACGGCUUACCAAGGGAACGAUGCGUAUGCGACCUGUGAGGCUGAUCGCCCACAUUGGAACUGAGACACGGUCCAGACUCCUACGGGACGCAGCAGUAGGCAACCUGCCGCAGUGGGCGAAAGCCUGACGGAGCAACGCCGCGUGAGUGAUGAAGGUCUUCGGAUCGUAAUACUCUGUUAUUAGUGAAGAACAAAUGUGUAAGUAACUAUGCACUUCUUGACGGUACCUAAUCAGAAAGCCCCGGCUAACUACGUG
rnacentral:rRNA from 1 species